rnacentral:rRNA from 1 species
GACGUAGGGGGCGAGCGUUGUCCGGAUUCAUUGGGCGUAAAGCGCGCGCAGGCGGCCCGGUAAGUCGGAUGUGAAAUCUCACGGCUCAACCGUGAAACUGCAUUCGAUACUGUCGGGCUAGAGGCAGGUAGGGGAGAUCGGAAUUCCUGGUGUAGCGGUGGAAUGCGCAGAUAUCAGGAGGAACACCAAUAGCGAAGGCAGCUCGCUGGGACGGUACUGACGCUAAGGCGCGAAAGCGUGGGGAGCGAACAGG